CCUACGGGGGACUGCAGUGAGGAAUAUUGGUCAAUGGACGAGAGUCUGAACCAGCCAAGUAGCGUGAAGGAUGACUGCCCUAUGGGUUGUAAACUUCUUUUAUAUGGGAAUAAAAUGUUCCACGUGUGGGAUUUUGUAUGUACCAUCUGAAUAAGGAUCGGCUAACUCCGUGCCAGCAGCCGCGGUAAUACGGAGGAUCCGAGCGUUAUCCGGAUUUAUUGGGUGUAAAGGGAGCGUAGGUGGAUUGUUAAGUCAGUUGUGAAAGUUUGCGGCUCAACCGUAAAAUUGCAGUUGAAACUGGCAGUCUUGAGUACAGUAGAGGUGGGCGGAAUUCGUGGUGUAGCGGUGAAAUGCUUAGAUAUCACGAAGAACUCCGAUUGCGAAGGCAGUUCACUGGACUGCAACUGACACUGAGGCUCGAAAGUGUGGGUAUCAAACAGGAUUAGAUACCCUUGUAGUC
rnacentral:rRNA from 1 species